rnacentral:rRNA from 1 species
AACGUAGGUGGCGAGCGUUAUCCGGAAUUACUGGGCGUAAAGCGUGUGCAGACGGGCUAGCAAGUGGUGUAUGAAAGCUCCCGGCUCAACCGGGAAGGGUUAUGCCAGACUGCUAGUCUUGAGUGCGAGAGAGGAGCGUGGAAUUCCGGGUGUAGUGGUGAAAUGCGUAGAGAUCCGGAGGAACCCCAGAGGCGAAGGCGGCGCUCUGGCUCGCAACUGACGCUCAGACACGACAGCAUGGGGAGCGAACGGG